UAUGCUAAAAAGGAGAAGAAGAAAAGCUGUAGCAUGCUUGAUUGCAGCAUAUCCCAGCCCUCAUCCAAGUCCGUCCUACUUCCCUUGUUCAUCCAUGGUCAAGAACUUGAGCCUUGCACUGCCUUCAUCUGUCAGAAGGGCAAGUGUACUGAGGAGUCCAAAUGUGCUCCAUGCAUUACAGGGAAAGAAAAGAUGAGAUUCCUCCCAAAGAUGUUACUUGCCUAAAUAACACAAGUAAGGCAGCAAGACAAUAGGAGAAGGGAUUCACGAAUCCUUUCAAAUCCUCUGGGAAAAAAGGAUCUGGAAGUAACAAAGGAUUGAAAAUGUCUUGAGAUCGGAUAGCAGAGGAAGAUUUCUUUAUGCCUCUUAUACUCUAUGCAGAAUUGCAGAGAGUGCCUGUCCUAUGCUGCCUAACUUUUUUGUUCAUUGGUUUGAGCCAACCUACCAAAUUACUGUCUGAGGACAGAGGCCAUCAGGGACCUGAAAUGAAAACCUUAAUUCAAUGCAAAAGAAUUAAUUGUUGGCCUGCUUUCUUGUAAACUGAUCUCUGAUUUAGAGUCAGGCUUCUUCCCUGCCACACCCAACCUGAACUAGAACAAAGGAAUAAAGCAGUCACUGGAAGCAAGUACCUUUGUGUUUGGGGGGAGUGGGGAAAUAUAUCCAAUCAUUCCUGAGCUAUAAAUAUUACAAAACCCAACAGUUCAGAAUAGCUCAUCUGCUAAGGGCAGAUCUUCACUAC